rnacentral:rRNA from 1 species
AUUGAACGCUGGCGGCAUGCCUUACACAUGCAAGUCGAACGGUAACGGGCUUACGGGUGCCGACGAGUGGUGGACGGGUGAGUAAUACAUCGGAACGUGCCCGAUCGUGGGGGAUAACGAGGCGAAAGCUUUGCUAAUACCGCAUACGACCUACGGCUGAAUGCAGGGGACCGCAAGGCCUUUUCGGGACGGGCCGGCCGAUGGCAGAUUAGGUAGUUGGUGGGAUAAAAGCUUACCAAGCCGACGAUCUGUAGCUGGUCUGAGAGGAUGAUCAGCCACACUGGGACUGAGACACGGCCCAGACUCCUACGGGAGGCAGCAGUGGGGAAUAUUGGACAAUGGGCGCAAGCCUGAUCCAGCCAUGCCGCGUGCAGGAUGAAGGCCUUCGGGUUGUAAACUGCUUUUGUACGGAACGAAAAGCCUUCUUUUAAUACAGGGGGGUCAUGACGGUACCGUAAGAAUAAGCACCGGCUAACUACGUG